rnacentral:rRNA from 1 species
UACGUAGGGUGCGAGCGUUAAUCGGAAUUACUGGGCGUAAAGCGUGCGUAGGCGGUUAUGUAAGACAGGUGUGAAAUCCCCGGGCUUAACCUGGGAACUGCAUUUGUGACUGCAUAGCUAGAGUACGGUAGAGGGGGAUGGAAUUCCGCGUGUAGCAGUGAAAUGCGUAGAUAUGCGGAGGAACACCGAUCGCGAAGGCAAUCCCCUGGACCUGUACUGACGCUCAUGCACGAAAGCGUGGGGAGCAAACAGG